rnacentral:tRNA from 1 species
GCGUCUGUGGUGAAAUUGGUAAACACAGCAGACUUAAAAUCUGCCGACCGCAAGGUCUUGCCGGUUCAAGUCCGGCCAGACGCACCA